rnacentral:rRNA from 1 species
ACGGAGGGGGCUAGCGUUGUUCGGAAUUACUGGGCGUAAAGCGCACGUAGGCGGCUUUGCAAGUCAGAGGUGAAAGCCCGGGGCUCAACCCCGGAAUUGCCUUUGAGACUGCAUCGCUAGAAUUGUGGAGAGGUAAGUGGAAUUCCGAGUGUAGAGGUGAAAUUCGUAGAUAUUCGGAAGAACACCAGUGGCGAAGGCGACUUACUGGACAAGCAUUGACGCUGAGGCACGAAAGCGUGGGGAGCAAACAGGA